rnacentral:rRNA from 1 species
UACAGAGGUGGCAAGCGUUGUUCGGAAUUACUGGGCGUAAAGGGCGCGUAGGCGGUUGCCCAAGUCGGGUGUGAAAGCCUUGAGCUCAACUCAAGAAAUGCACUCGGUACUGGGUGACUAGAGGACCGGAGAGGAUAGUGGAAUUCCCAGUGUAGUGGUGAAAUACGUAGAGAUUGGGAAGAACACCAGUGGCGAAGGCGGCUAUCUGGACGGUUUCUGACGCUAAGACGCGAAAGCGUGGGGAGCAAACAGG